rnacentral:lncRNA from 1 species
CAAGCAAUUUAACAGGACCUCUUAAGGCCUCGGCGGCAUUUUUGGAAGCACCUCGGCUGGCCUCUUGAGAGCCUCGAUUGGACCAAUUAGGGCUUCAAUGGACAUCCUUGAAGGCACGUCGUCAGGCACUUCGGCCAUCUUUGAAGGUACUUCGGUUUACCUUUUAGGGAUCCUUGGCUUGGCUUUAGGCACCUUCACUGAGCUUUGGAGGCACCUCAUUGACCCCCUUGAGAGCCUCAAUUGAAUUAGUGAAUUAUUGUGGUGUCUCCUUGUGGCAUUUCAUAUUCGACCAGCAACAAUACUCCCUUAAGUUGGAGUUUUACAUUCAUGUGCGGGUCGAACUUUCUUUGUACUUGCAAUUUUGUGAAGUUUUGGCAAUUCCAGUGGCGGAGCCAUUUAGGCCCAAAAUUUUAUUCUUUUUUUUUUAAAGCAACAGGGGAGGUGGAAUAAAAACAUGUUUUAAUUUACAUGGGUUUUAUUUUUAGGCCCAAACCCAUGAUUUUGUUUUAUAGUUUUAUCAUCAUUAAAUUC